UACAGAGGUCUCAAGCGUUGUUCGGAUUCAUUGGGCGUAAAGGGUGCGUAGGUGGCGCUGUAAGUCGGGUGUGAAAUUUCGGAGCUUAACUCCGAAACUGCAUUCGAUACUGCGGUGCUUGAGGACUGGAGAGGAGACUGGAAUUCAUGGUGUAGCAGUGAAAUGCGUAGAGAUCAUGAGGAAGACUAGUGGCGAAGGCGGGUCUCUGGACAGUUCCUGACACUGAGGCACGAAGGCCAGGGGAGCAAACGGG
rnacentral:rRNA from 1 species